GUGGGGAAUAUUGCACAAUGGGCGCAAGCCUGAUGCAGCAACGCCGCGUGAGGGACGACGGCCUUCGGGUUGUAAACCUCUUUUAGCAGGGAAGAAGCGAAAGUGACGGUACCUGCAGAAAAAGCACCGGCUAACUACGUGCCAGCAGCCGCGGUAAUACGUAGGGUGCAAGCGUUGUCCGGAAUUAUUGGGCGUAAAGAGCUCGUAGGCGGUUUGUCGCGUCUGCUGUGAAAACCCGAGGCUCAACCUCGGGCCUGCAGUGGGUACGGGCAGACUAGAGUGCGGUAGGGGAGAUUGGAAUUCCGGGUGUAGCGGUGGAAUGCGCAGAUAUCAGGAGGAACACCGAUGGCGAAGGCAGAUCUCUGGGCCGUAACUGACGCUGAGGAGCGAAAGCGUGGGGAGCGAACAGGAUUAGAAACCCUUGUAGUCC
rnacentral:rRNA from 1 species